UCUAAAUCUCUCUUUCCCCAAGGUCCAAAGCCUUAUGAUAACCGAUCUUUGGGUCACAAACCCAAUCUACUUUUUAUAUUUUACCAGUGAGAUGUCAUCAACUGUGUCUGCACCAUAUUCAUACAAAUUAAAUAUGUUUAUCAAACCCUUACAAGUUGUAUUUAAUAUCAUCAUUUUGAUGAAAAUACACUUACAAAACCCUUACAAAACCUUAAAAAUUGUGUGUUACUUUGGGCAUCUAUUUUAUGUGAAAAAUGGUUUUCUUAUUUUGAGGGCAACAUGAUCAAUUUAUUUUUAUUUUUUAAAUUAUAAUGAUUAUAAAAUUUAUACAAAAAUUGAUUACAAAUUGUAAAAAAAAAGGACAAAUACGAUAUCUUGAAAAUUAAGAAAUGAUAAAUAUGAUAUAUAAAUUUAAGGUUUGACAAAUAUGAUAUUUUUUGCUACUUAAUAGAGAAAUAUACAAAAUUAACCAUUUUGUUAUUGCUUUGAUAUCAACGAUCAUCAUCAAAAACUUCAGUGACAUAAUUCAUUAAUUUUAAAAACUUUUCAUCAAAUACGCUUCCAUCGCUCCAAAUCUCUACUGCCAUACUUUAUUAUUACAUAACUCUAAUUCUGACAACAACCCAUCAAUAACUUGAUUAUACCAUAACUUACAUAAACUUUGUCUCCUCGAACCCAUGGGUUGUCUUUUAAUUUCUUAUAGAACUCUUUCCUCACUUAAAGAACUUCACUAUUUGCUUAUAAGAGGCAAUCACUCAAUCCAACACAACCUGCAAACAAAAGCAGUCACUUUAUAUGUUUGUUUUAUACCAAAAGGCCUUGGGUGUAUCAGGAGUUGACUGAACUAAAUUGUUAAGGGUUCAAGUCUGGUUGUGAACGAAAAUAUGUAAAUUUAGGAGUAAUGUAGUGUGUGCGUAUGUAAACCGCUUUAAAAAUAUGUUUGUUUGAUGAUCCAUAUAUUUCUAGUGUAAAGUAAUGAUCUAUGGUAUUUCCCAAAUGAUCUACACUUUGAAAGUAUCAUGUUCUACAAAUGUAUGAAGAAAUGCCUCAAAAAAUCUGCCAACUUGGUCUUUUCAACUGUAGGCUUAUACACAUCCGCUUUUAGAUAACUUUAAAACAAAUAUGGAUUAUUGUUAGCUUAUGUUUCAACGAGAAAUAUGGAAGGAGAUAAAUACGUUCCAUCUUAUGUUUCAACCAAAGUAUCGUUCGUGACCCACACAAAAUCUUCCAGCAUAUCCAAUCUUAAAUAUUAUGCUUCUACCCCCAAUAUAACCCCAAAUCUUCGAUAUGUGUUAUUACUAUUCAACAUUAAUUUUUUCGACCACAAAUGAUUUUGGCUCAAUAAUUGAUAUCAUGCAACAAACCUAAAACCAUUGAAGGGAUAUUGUUCCUAAUUAGGUUUGAAAGAAACUUGGUGGCUAAAGAAGAAGAGGAAAAGGGUAGGGUGGUAAUAUAAGGAAGGGAAGGAAUGUGAUCAUUGAAUUUGAAGAAGGGAUGAGAGGAGGGUGGGCUGCCAGAUAUAAGAAGGGAAAGGUGGGUGAAGGGUUUAUGGGUUGGUCACUUAGGCUUGUCGAUCAAGUCUUCUUAAGUCAUGUUUGACGAAAAUAAAGUAACUUAUUGUAAUUUACUAUUUGGUAAAAUAAAAUAGGUUAUUUUAGCUUAUUAGUUAGAUUUGAUAAGCUUAUUAGUUAGAUAGUUUUUGAUUAACUUGUGAAGUUCUUUAAAAAAUAUUUCAAAUAUGAUUAUAUUUAUUAUUUUUUCUUUUAGUCAUAUAUAUCAUUAUUUAUGUCAGUUUUUUAUAUUUAUGUUUAGCUUAUAAGUUAUUUUUUUUACCAAACAUUAUUAAUUAUUUAAUUUAUAAAUUAGUUUAUUAGUUAUCAACAACAUUUUCAGCUUCUUUGCCAUACAAGGCCUUAAUAAACAAAUGAUUAAAGAAAAAACAAUUAAAAGACAAAUAAAAAAAAAAUAGAAAGAGAUAAAUUGAUCAUUUUAUAAUUAUCUUUUUUCUAAGUUUGCCAAAAAUACUUUGCCCCAUAUUUUAAAAAGAAAUUAGCCAAAUCGAUGAACCGUUCAUGGUUUUAUAAUCAUACAACCAACGGUUUAAAAUUUCAUAUAUUUAUAUUUAACUUGAAACUUUUCAAAAAUAUAAUUAACUAAUUAUACAAUUGUGUCUUAAAAAUUUGUAUUCCAAUAAGUAUUUAACUUGAACAUUAAAGACAGUGAAAAGUAAAAACCCGUUGUUUUCAUUUUAAUUUAUUUACCAAAACAUGGUAGACCCAUAUUUUAAUUUAAAAAAAUAAAAAAAAGGAAAUAAAUCUCAUACAAAUUUACGAAAUCGCCCUUUAGCUUCCUCCUAUCCUUUCUACCAGGCAUCUCCAGUCAACCUUUUCUUUCUCUUCGCAUUUCUUUUACCGGCGACCACCACCUCACCACCUGCCAUCUCCGAUGAACACCCUUUUCAUCAACUUUUCAUCUUCUUUAUCACAGUUCCAGAAACGGUCAGUAAGUAUCUCCGAUGACUGCAACAUAUUUUGAGUUUGCUUUUUCCAAAUAUGCACCAACCCUAGGGGAACGGCUUCAACGAAAGGAGGAUGAAUUUGUGGGCUUUCUGGUUCGAGUUGUGCGAAACAAAACCCCCGUUGGUGUAUGUGUGUUUGUGGCGUUGUGGUUCUGAAUAGCAGGUGGUGGUGGUGGUCGGCGGUAGAAUGAGUUGCAAAUGGGAAAAGGAAUGGAGUAGGAGAUGGCUAAGGGUAUUUUGGUAAAUUACAUAUUGGCUUUAAUUGUUUUCUCUUUCUUUAACACGUAAUGUGGGUCCCACCCGGUGGUGGUGGGCAAUACUCUCAAGUGUCAGCACACACAUCAAGACGUAAAAACCUAAAGCUUAAAUACCAGCAUAUGCUCUUGCAAUGGAGUAGGCCGGCAUUUCCGAACGGCCCUUUCGCUAUUCAGAUUUAGACAGAGAAAGAGGACGACUCACGCCUAAAAGAUUCAUUCAGGUGAUUAUCUUUAUCUUCUUCAUUCAUCUUUCGAAUCGAUACAGAGAUUUGAAAUACAUUCGUUUAUAUGCGUCUGUAUUUGUGAAAACUGAAUUUGCAUGCCGUGAUUUGUGACUGUAUUUGUUGGAUUAAGGCCUGAGUUUAGUCGAAGGGAUUCAUAUUUGACAGAUCUAAAAUUUCCGGUGCUUAAAACUUUCGAACAUUGAUUGAUGUGGAAUGUGGCUGAAAAGUGGAUCUGAGAAAUCAUUUUUCUUGAUUCUGUCCCUCCUUUCUGAUGUAAGCGUUGGGGUUGCUGAUUUAAGCAAAUAUGAACAGCGAAUGGAAACAAUCUCAUUCCGAUUUUGUUAACUUUACUCUUUUUGUUUCGUUUUUUCUUGCUAAAAGUGUUUCUUCUUUAUUGGAGCUGGAUUUUUGUGAAAUUUGAUUCAUUCAACAACCUACGAUUUUCUAUUUUGAUAAAGUAAUUGAAAACUGCAAUGUUUACUUAUCGGUCACUUUUGCUUUUAAUUUUCCUAUAACAUGCUUCCUCGAUUUCCUCUGGAGUUGCAUAAAGAUUUUUGAUACUUUGUGGUUCAUUAUCAAUGUUUAAGUUGAGAUUUUUGAUUUCUACUUUAUGAUAUUUUGGUAAUCUGUUUUCUAGUACUUCAUAUACAUCUACUACCCAAUUUGACAUCAAAACAUUAUAAAAAAAGCAAACUUGAUUUCUGAUUUUUGAUUUGUGGUUAGAUAUACUUGCUGUGACUUUUAAUAAUCAAUUUAGACUUCUGAUUUUUGAUUCGGGUCUCUUUAUCAGAUUUUUUGUAUUGCGAAUUGUGUAUCAGAUUUUUGAGUUCUGUUUUCUGAAAAGUUUGGAUUAUUGCUCUUAUUUUGACAACGGAAAAAGAAAAUCACUGGAUUUAUUUGAGAGAGUUAACAGAUCUUCUCAACUUUGAAAGCUAAAAUCAUAAAUGUUUCCCCAUCUCCCCCAUCUUCUUUAAGACUUUAACCAUUUGACAUGUUUGGGCUAAAAAGAGAAACUGUUAAUACAGAGUGAUGUUUUUUGCAAUUUGCUAAAAUCACUGGAUAUCUCUUCAUUUUAUUGUUCAAUGUUCACCACAUAUUAUUAUAUAUUUUAGAUACACUAGACUUGGAUACUAUCGCCAAAAUAUGACAAAUUUUUUUUUUUUUUUUGUCUUUGUCUUUUUGUAUUCAAUAACAUGCACUGUGUAUCACAUGGGCCUCACCAAACUUUUACAACUUACUGAACUGAUUUUUGUUUAUAUUGUCCAACAGCAACUUAUUAUUAUAUAUAAUAUGCUUUUCCCAACAACCCCCUUAUUUAUGUCACAUCCCUUGCAUCAAAUCAGAUCUAAUUAUGUGGUUGUCCUUUGAAUUUCAUAGUUCCCUCCUAGGUUUGGGCAUGUACUUAACUUCAUUUAUGACUCAAAAGUUAUUGAAUUCAAGUUCACCUUCCCGUGUUUUUAAAUCACAUGACUCAUGAUUCCAUCAACAUUUUCAAGUUAAUAGCAAACUGUGUUUGUUUCUUUUCACAAAUAGCUCUACUUUUUUCGAUAUUUACUAUGUUAGUCAACUUAAUGUUUAAUAGUUUUAUAAAUUUGGUAUACUUUGAAUGUUGUCAGUCAAAAUUGGCAUACCAUGUGAUGCAUUAUCAGUGUUUUUUUUUAUUUCAAGAAAGCGUGUUUCUUCUUAUGGAAAAUUUGGUAUUAAAUUAUUGAGAUAUUUGAUUUAUGCUCAACUAUCAUGGACCCCACCCCACUUAUAUUAUAAGCUAACUUGUGAUAUUUCAAUCUUUUUUUUUUUUUUUUUUUUUUUUUUUAAUGUAUAGGUGACUGAACAAUGGGUGCCGGAGGGCGAAUGUCGAAGGUGUCAAAUGACAAAAAUACCCCCCAACGGGUCCCGUACCAAAAACCACCAUUCACAGUCGGCGAACUCAAGAAAGCAAUCCCGCCCCAUUGUUUCAACCGAUCCGUUAUCCGCUCGUUCUCAUACGUCGUCUACGACCUCACAAUCGCGUCCAUAUUCUACUACCUUGCGUCAAAUUACAUCCCUACCCUUCCCCACCCUCUAUCCUACGUGGCAUGGCCCGUGUACUGGGCCCUACAAGGUUGUGUACUAACCGGUGUCUGGGUCAUUGCCCAUGAAUGCGGUCACCACGCGUUCAGUGACUACCAAUGGCUCGACGACACUGUCGGCCUCAUCCUCCACUCCGCCCUCCUCGUCCCGUACUUCUCAUGGAAAUACAGUCACCGCCGCCACCACUCCAACACCGGGUCAAUCGAGCACGACGAAGUCUUCGUCCCGAAGCUAAAGUCAAACGUCCGGUCAACCGCAAAAUACCUAAACAACCCUCCGGGCCGAAUCCUAACCCUUUUAGUAACCCUAACCCUAGGUUGGCCCUUAUACCUAAUGUUUAACGUAUCCGGUCGAUACUAC
rnacentral:lncRNA from 1 species